AUGAUCAGAAGGAUUCCAAUACAUAACACCACCUCCAAAGUACUGAUUAUAGUCCACCCCGGAAACAGCAUGUACCUCUAACUCUUCUUCAGACAUCCAGUGAUAAUCAUGGUCUUCACCCACUUCAUGUGAAUUUGCAAGAUCGGAGAAGUCCAUUAAGUCACCAGAAUACACCCUUUCAUCCUCAGUACUCACCACAUUGCAGUGCAUGCUUUGAGCUGCUAUAUCUUGCUGGAAAGACGUUCUCCUAGAUAUAAACCCA
rnacentral:misc_RNA from 1 species